GCGCAAUUACUUGCCCUUUAAUUGAGGGCCCGUACGAAUGGACCCACGAAAGCAUCCCUGUCUCAUAAUCAUUAAUAAGAAAACUAAUCUCCAGGUGAAAAAGCCUGAAUAAAAUAAAAAGACAAGAAGACCCUGUAGAGCUUCAUUCCAAAAUUAAACAAAAAUCAAUCACUCCUGAACCUCCUUGUUUAAAAAAGAAUUUUGCUGGGGCAGCAAGAAACCAACUAAAACGUCUCUAUAUACACACGACUAUCUGUCCUUUACAAGACCCUUUAAAAUGUACUACAAUACACCCCAAAAGAUCUCAAGAAAAAGCUACCUCAGGGAUAACAGACUAAUCCUUCUUAAGAGUCCACAUUAACAGAAGGGA
rnacentral:rRNA from 1 species